rnacentral:miRNA from 1 species
UGAGGUAGUUAAGAAAGACCGA